rnacentral:rRNA from 1 species
AAAUAAGGGCGUAUGGCGGAUGCCUUGGCUCUCAGAGGCGAUGAAGGACGUGAUAAGCUGCGAUAAGCUGCGGGGAUUAGCACAUAUGAAUUGAUCCGCAGAUUUCCGAAUGGGACAACCCAAUAUAUUGAAGAUAUAUUAUUCGAAAGAAGGCUAACCCGGAGAACUGAAACAUCUAAGUACCCGGAGGAAGAGAAAACAAUAGUGAUUCCGCAAGUAGUGGCGAGCGAACGCGGAACAGCCCAAACCAUAGCAGUUAAGGCUACUAUGGGGUUGUAGGACUGCAACAUGGACUUAUACAAUGAACAUGAACUGGGUGGGAAACCAGACCAAAGAGGGUGAGAGUCCCGUAACGGAAAGUUGUAUAUACCUAGCAGUAUCCUGAGUAGGACGGGACCGGAGAAAUCCCGUUUGAAUCCACCGGCACCAUCCGGUAAGGCUAAAUACUCCUGAGAGACCGAUAGUGAACAAGUACCGUGAGGGAAAGGUGAAAAGUACCCUGAAUAAGGGGGUGAAAUAGAACCUGAAACCAUACGCUUACAAGCGGUUGGAGCCAAAUAAUUUUGGUGACAGCGUGCCUUUUGCAUAAUGAGCCUACGAGUUACUCCUCUCUAGCAAGGUUAAGGACUUCAGGUCCGUAGCCGGAGCGAAAGCGAGUCUGAAUAGGGCGCAUUAGUUAGAGGGGGUAGACGCGAAACCCGGUGAUCUACCCAUGACCAGGUUGAAGUUGCAGUAACAUGCAAUGGAGGACCGAACCAGUUGACGUUGAAAAGUCUUUGGAUGAGUUGUGGGUAGGGGUGAAAGGCCAAUCAAA